UCUGGCUCCUUUCGGGGUCCGAGUUGUAAUUUGUAGAGAGUGUUUCGGGGAAGACCACGGUCUAAGUCCAUUGGAACAUGGUGUCAUAGAGGGUGAGAAUCCCGUCUGUGACCGCGGAUCGACCCCAUGUGAAACCUCUUCGACGAGUCGAGUUGUUUGGGAAUGCAGCUCAAAAUGGGUGGUAAAUUUCAUCUAAAGCUAAAUAUUGGCUGGAGACCGAUAGCGCACAAGUAGAGUGAUCGAAAGAUGAAAAGCACUUUGGAAAGAGAGUUAAACAGUACGUGAAAUUGUUGAAAGGGAAGCGCUUGCAACCAGACCUGCCCGUAGGCGAUCAGCCGCUGUUCUCAGCGGUGCACUCGCUCUGCGAUCAGGCCAGCAUCGGUUUCGGCGGUCGGAUAAAGGCCUUGGGAAUGUAGCUUUCCUUCGGGGGAGUCUUAUAGCCCUAGGUGCAAUGCGGCCAGCCGGGACCGAGGACCGCGCUUCGGCUAGGAUGCUGGCGUAAUGGUUGUCAGCGACCCGUCUUGAAACACGGACCAAGGAGUCUAACAUCUAUGCGAGUGUUUGGGUGUUAAACCCAUGCGCGGAAUGAAAGUGAACGGAGGUGAGAACCCUUUA
rnacentral:rRNA from 1 species